rnacentral:lncRNA from 1 species
AUGAGAUGCAGAGAACAGAACUGUGUACAGUACUCAGGAUGCGGGUUCACCACGGUUUUCUGGAGAGAUGAAAUGCAAGCGGGCUUCAGGCAUGCUGAUAUGGGGGGAGCCCCACACAUUUGGCAGGGCGUCUGUCAGCUAACAAAGACGAUGGAACAGCCUAUCCACAUAGGAGAGCUGAUAUAUGGCUUACCUCCAACAAUCAGUAUUACUGUGGUGUAUUGUGUUUCACUGGCAGCAAUAUAUUCAAGAAGAACAUGAGAACUCCUGCACUCCUGGAGACCACAGGAUCCAUGCUCUGGGCUGGUCAUUUUAGGCCUGGUCAUUUAGGUGCAGAGUAUUCUUUCUAGUCACAUGCCCUGCGUGAGCCUCUCCUUCAGCUGUUUUCCCAAGGUUUUGGAAAUGCUUCUGGUAAAUACUGCAGUUUCCAAAACUUUUCACUGUGUCCUUGCUGGUAUGGGAUACCAUUAUAGCAGGGAGAGGCAGCCUACGUAUGUGGAAGGAACAUUGUGGCACAGAGACAUUACCUCUUUGGCCCACCUAAUCCAUUUGAGAGUUUUAUUUUUGACCUGAAGAUUGGGUCUUUGAGUGCCAUACACAGCAUGCAUUGCUUUCCCCAUUCUUUUCACAAGAUCAUCGCCGUUCUUCAGUUGUUUCUUCUGAGGGGGGAGUUGCUGCAGGAACUGCUGGGGAGGCCCUGACAGUGGGACAUGAAAAAGACACCUUUGACUACAUCCAGCAGAAGAAGUUUAAGCCGAAGGAUCAGAGUAAAUAACUGCUUGUCUAGGCUUGUUUCCCAGCAACACAUUGUCAGAAUUUUUUUUAAUGAACAAUCCUACUUGAUCAAGUGCCUAUUCAUUCCGUGAAUAUUAGUGCAAAAACAUGUACAUUACCGAUCCUUUAAAGCAAGUCCAUGGCACUGGGGUAGCGUGCGUAGUGAAGACUAAAUCCCGUAAUAACUCAUUUUGAUGUUGUUCUCUUAAGUGAAAGCACUUAAGGCAGAUUAAAACAUUUAUCAUACUCUUUUGUUUGUUGAAUGGACCAUGAUACUAAGAAAAACCUGCAGUGAAGGAGACAUAGUAGCCAUUUUCCUUAGAGAAGGUGUCUUGUCCUGUACUUUAGGACUUACUGUGCAUUUUGAGAGAGAGUAGCAAAUGACAGGUCUCCUUUUAACCCCCGGGGAGCAGAAAGUUGUGACUUGAAGGCAAAAUGUUUCUUGCAGCUGGGUUAGAAGAAGCUGGCUACCAAUCAAAAGUAAUGACAAUUCUGUGGAGUCCCUGGAAGUUUUGAAAAGACCGUAUUUACCUUUUAUAAAAGGCUAUGCACUUUCAUUACUAAUGCCUGUAGUAAUCGAGCCAGGUAAGUGGUACAUAGGUGGUCGAGCCAUUAGUCUUUUUUCACAUAGUAAUAGCCUUUAGGCUGUGAUCACUGUUAGAAAAGUCCAGCUAUUUUAAAAAUGGAACAAGCCUUUUUAGCUUGUUUCCUGUAGUACCACAAAAGGUGAUCAGAAUACUAAUGUUUUCGUGCUUUAAUGUGGUAGACGUACUCUGUGCCAACAUCUCUUACUGUUUAAUAAUAAAAACUGAGCAGUCCAUCA